GUGGUGUUACCUCACCAGGUCCAGACAGAGGAAGGAUUGACAGAUUGAUAGCUCUUUCUUGAUUCUUUGGGUGGUGGUGCAUGGCCGUUCUUAGUUGGUGGAGUGAUUUGUCUGGUUAAUUCCGUUAACGAACGAGACCUUAACUUGCUAAAUAGGAUGCGGGAAUAAACUUUGGUUGUCCCGUAAUCGAUUUAAAGAGGGACUAGGCGGGUUUAAAUCGCAAGGAUGUUUAAGACAAUUACAGGU
rnacentral:rRNA from 1 species